AUUGAACGCUGGCGGCAGGCCUAACACAUGCAAGUCGAGCGGAGCGGCGGACGGGUGAGUAAUGCCUAGGAAUCUGCCUGGUAGUGGGGGAUAACGUCCGGAAACGGGCGCUAAUACCGCAUACUAUCAGAUGAGCCUAGGUCGGAUUAGCUAGUUGGUGGGGUAAAGGCUUACCAAGGCGACGAUCCGUAACUGGUCUGAGAGGAUGAUCAGCCACACUGGGACGGAGACACGGCCCAGACUCCCACGGGAGGCAGCAGUGGGGAAUAUUGCACAAUUGGCGCAAGCCUGAUUCAGCCAAGCCGCGUGUAUGAAGAAGGCCUUCGGGUUGUAAAGUACUUUCAGCGGGGAGGCGUUACCCACAGAAGAAGCACCGGCUAACUCCGUGCCAGCAGCCGCGGUAAUUC
rnacentral:rRNA from 1 species